CCUACGGGUGGCAGCAGUGAGGAAUAUUGGUCAAUGGGCGCGAGCCUGAACCAGCCAAGUCGCGUGAAGGAUGACUGCCCUACGGGUUGUAAACUUCUUUUAUAAGGGAAUAAAGUGAGGCACGUGUGCCUUUUUGUGUGUACUUUAUGAAUAAGGAUCGGCUAACUCCGUGCCAGCAGCCGCGGUAAUACGGAGGAUCCGAGCGUUAUCCGGAUUUAUUGGGUUUAAAGGGAGCGUAGAUGGGUUGUUAAGUCAGUUGUGAAAGUUUGCGGCUCAACCGUAAAAUUGCAAUUGAUACUGGCAGUCUUGAGUACAGGUGAGGUAGGCGGAAUUCGUGGUGUAGCGGUGAAAUGCUUAGAUAUCACGAAGAACUCCGAUGGCGAAGGCAGCUUACUAAACUGCCACUGACACUGAUGCUCGAAAGUGUGGGGAGCAAACAGGAUUAGAUACCCGUGUAGUC
rnacentral:rRNA from 1 species